rnacentral:rRNA from 1 species
AUUGAACGCUGGCGGCAGGCCUAACACAUGCAAGUCGAGCGGAUGAAGGGAGCUUGCUCCUGGAUUCAGCGGCGGACGGGUGAGUAAUGCCUAGGAAUCUGCCUGGUAGUGGGGGAUAACGUCCGGAAACGGGCGCUAAUACCGCAUACGUCCUGAGGGAGAAAGUGGGGGAUCUUCGGACCUCACGCUAUCAGAUGAGCCUAGGUCGGAUUAGCUAGUUGGUGGGGUAAAGGCCUACCAAGGCGACGAUCCGUAACUGGCCUGAGAGGAUGAUCAGUCACACUGGAACUGAGACACGGUCCAGACUCCUACGGGAGGCAGCAGUGGGGAAUAUUGGACAAUGGGCGAAAGCCUGAUCCAGCCAUGCCGCGUGUGUGAAGAAGGUCUUCGGAUUGUAAAGCACUUUAAGUUGGGAGGAAGGGCAGUAAGUUAAUACCUUGCUGCUUUGACGUUACCAACAGAAUAAGCACCGGCUAACUUCGUG